rnacentral:rRNA from 1 species
UACGUAGGGUGCAAGCGUUAAUCGGAAUUACUGGGCGUAAAGCGUGCGCAGGCGGUUAUGUAAGUCAGAUGUGAAAGCCCCGGGCUCAACCUGGGAACUGCAUUUGAAACUGGCGGGCUUGAGUGUGGCAGAGGGGGGUGGAAUUCCGCGUGUAGCAGUGAAAUGCGUAGAGAUGCGGAGGAACACCGAUGGCGAAGGCAGCCCCCUGGGCCAACACUGACGCUCAGGCACGAAAGCGUGGGGAGCAAACAGG